UUUUUGCAGGGGGUGUGUACUGUUAAAAAGGCCACUAUCCUCCUUAUUUUUUCCCUGCUGAGACCUAGCAGUUCAUUUUGACGUACUGGUUGUGGAGGUCCCACCAACUGCUUUGCGGUAUGGAGUCGCGGUAUCUCCUCCCAGUACUUUCUGUGUUGUUCCAAGAUCCACCGCGCAACUGCCACCCUAACUUGGGCAUGAGAUAUAACACAAGCAGGUUUUUGGAUGGUCAGUGGUUUCUCGGUCCCUGCCUUAGCAAGUUCCGCAGUAAUCUCGUUUUCUUUGUUCCUGUUCGUACCAGUUGCCCAAGUGAGUUUUACUCUGUUUCAGCUCCCGGCCAGGGUUGUACGUUCUUUUACACAAUCUAGCACACAUUGUAACCUGAUUGUGUACGAUUCUAAUGCCUUUAUUGUGGCUUCAUCUCCGGUUACGAUGGUAAUAAUGUGCUUACGUGUGUAGGCUCUUUCCUUGAUUUUCCGGGCGCAAUUUGUUAUUGCUAGGAUGCUUGCUUGGAAAGCUGUCGUAGUUGUACCCAGGGUUAAGGUGAUCCUUUCCCCAGUUCUUCCUCUUUCGACUAUACCAGCCCCUGUGUCCGACGCUGUUUUUAUGCCCUCCGUGUACCAUACGGAGUCCCCUGUGAUGGCUGAUAGAGUCUCUCCACCAUCUCGCCCCUCAUUUAGAACAUAUGUUCUAAAAGGUACCGAGAUGCUUAGAGUUUUGAUUCGAUCAGCUUUUGAUCCUAUAGGUUCGACUGUCUUCCAUUUUCUGAACAUCGCACUGUGUCCCAAAUCCGUCGCUUACAUCGCAUCGUCACCCAUACGGUAAGCGCUUCUUAGGGCCUCAGCUUCAAUGGAUAUAUGCAACGGCUCCAGCCCCAGGAGUGUCUCCAUAGCGGCCGUCGGUCUCGUUGACAUCGCUCCAGUUAUUCCCAGACACGCCAGCCUCUGAACUUUGUUCAGGGAAUGUGGAUAUGUGCUGAUUUUGGUUCUAUGCCACCAUAUGACGGCGGAAUAUGUGAUUAUGGGUUUCACAAUGGUGACGUACGUCCAGUACACCAUCUUCGGUGAAAUUCCCCAUGUUUUUUCAAAAGUGCGUUUGCAGGUUCAUGAAGCCCUGAUCGCCUUGUUUGUUUUCUGUUCCACAUGUUCUUUAAGCAACAGCUUCUUAUCCAGGGUUACUCCAAGAUAUUUAACAGUGUCAGACAUGUGUAUUUUGUUCCCAUAUAUAGACAUUUGUCUUAGGGCUCUAAGAUAUGUUCCUUGUGAAAGCGAUAAUAGAUGUCUUGGGUGGGCUAAUUUUCAGCCCUUCCGUGUUACACCAUUGUUCGGUGAUGUUUAGCGCCUGCUGCAUCAAUGAUGAUACAGUGUCUCCAAACCUUCCCUGUACAACAAUGGAGAUAUCAUCCGCAUAUCCCAGUGCGUAGAAACCUUUCCCUUCAAGAGACGACAGGAGCCGGUCCACCACCAGGCUCCACAGCAGAGGCGACAAAACUACCCCCUGUGGGACAGUAACCGUUCUGCAACUCAGCAUGUUUUGGAUCCAUUUACAUAUUAUAGGCUCCACUCCACGAUUUUUCACCGCUCUGACGAUUGACUG